rnacentral:rRNA from 1 species
AGUCGAGCGGUAACAGAUCCAGCUUGCUGGAUGCUGACGAGCGGCGGACGGGUGAGUAAUGCAUAGGAAUCUGCCCGAUAGUGGGGGAUAACCUGGGGAAACCCAGGCUAAUACCGCAUACGUCCUACGGGAGAAAGGGGGCUCCGGCUCCCGCUAUGGGAUGAGCCUAUGUCGGAUUAGCUAGUUGGUGAGGUAACGGCUCACCAAGGCCACGAUCCGUAGCUGGUCUGAGAGGAUGAUCAGCCACAUCGGGACUGAGACACGGCCCGAACUCCUACGGGAGGCAGCAGUGGGGAAUAUUGGACAAUGGGGGAAACCCUGAUCCAGCCAUGCCGCGUGUGUGAAGAAGGCCCUCGGGUUGUAAAGCACUUUCAGCGAGGAAGAACGCCUAGCGGUUAAUACCCGCUAGGAAAGACAUCACUCGCAGAAGAAGCACCGGCUAACUCCGUGCCAGCAGCCGCGGUAAUACGGAGGGUGCAAGCGUUAAUCGGAAUUACUGGGCGUAAAGCGCGCGUAGGUGGCUUGAUAAGCCGGUUGUGAAAGCCCCGGGCUCAACCUGGGAACGGCAUCCGGAACUGUCAAGCUAGAGUGCAGGAGAGGAAGGUAGAAUUCCCGGUGUAGCGGUGAAAUGCGUAGAGAUCGGGAGGAAUACCAGUGGCGAAGGCGGCCUUCUGGACUGACACUGACACUGAGGUGCGAAAGCGUGGGUAGCAAACAGGAUUAGAUACCCUGGUAGUCCACGCCGUAAACGAUGUCGACCAGCCGUUGGGUGCCUAGCGCACUUUGUGGCGAAGUUAACGCGAUAAGUCGACCGCCUGGGGAGUACGGCCGCAAGGUUAAAACUCAAAUGAAUUGACGGGGGCCCGCACAAGCGGUGGAG